UCAGGUCAUUUUGAAGUAUUCUGGUUAGAUCACUGUGUUUCCACCAUUCAAGAUUUUCCUUGUGUAAAAGAAGCGCUCUGCAAGCGUCAAAGGCAUCAUUUCCUUGCUAAGAAAGGAACAAAUUUAUGAUUUUCUUGACUUUGACUUUUAGAACGGGUGAGGCGUUUUUAUCUCUCUUGAAAGAGAAAUUUUAAUAUAUUAUUUUGCUCUAUAUUCUUUAGAAAGAAAUUCACCUACUUUUUCUUCUUUCAUUUCAUCGAACGCUUUGGCUCGAGACCAGAGACUAGAUUCUCACCAUUCCUUCCUUGAGAUUGCAACUCCAAAAAGCAUCAUUUUACUCCCCUGAUCUGGGGAGAAGAUAGCCACUCGGUGAGGGGUUGGAAAGUUGGCGUGGUUUGUACAUUUAAGUUACAGCUGGUUUGUUGGGAGGCUGGAAAGAUUUGUAGGUAGGUGGUCCACUUGUUAGCCAUUCGAGGUGUAUUUUAAGACAUCCAUAUUGAUGGCGAUCAAAUGGACGGUUGAAAAGAAGAGCUUGUUAGAUGUAUAGCAAAAUCUAAUGGUUUGUGCCAUUGGGUAAGUGUAAUCUUUGGGUUGUGGCCCACUCUAUAUUAAUGAAAUUUUAUUCUUGUGUGUCCUUUCUUUUUUA